rnacentral:lncRNA from 1 species
GUCCAUGUGACUUUUGCAGGAGCCAUGUGAAAGCUUUUAUUUCUUCCAUGAUGGAUAUUUGUCAUCAGCUCAUGUGAAUGUUUUGGCGAACCAAAGGCUGGAUUGUUCUGUUUUGCUUGCUCGGAUUGUGAAAUGGGAAUAUCCGUAACAUGACAGGGCAUGAAAGAGCCUGAAAUGAAUUAAGGCUGUACUUUAAUGAAUGGGCUUUUCAUCUAGUGGAUUCUUUGUAAACAACUGUGGUAAAUCCACUUUCAGCAAAUCCAAAGGAUGGUUGACACAUGCAUUUCAUACGGGUGGCUCCUAGCAGACUAGAAAUGAUGAUGCAUCGUUACAGAUGGACCAUUUUUUCGGCAGAUGAGUGUUCUUGCUAUCCCAUUUCAGCUGGAAGAACUGCUCUGGUGUAGAGCCAAUACAGUAUGUACUGUGUUUCAUCUGAUUAUCUCAACUCAAAACCUGGACAGAUGAGAACAUUCUGAAGCUGGAUACUCCAGGGAUCAUCCAACCGACGCGGAUCUCUCAGCCUUCACUGGAAAGGGGGCAGGUUUCUACCUGCUGAAUUAUUUGACUGGAUUGUGCAAACACACCCCUAAUGAUUCCCACGGAUCACGCAACUGGAAUGAGAUGGGCUGCUGGAAGCAGCAGUUACUGAGAUCUGGCACUGGUCCUCUCUGAUUGUGUGGGACACGAGUUUCAAAGUCCAGGAGUAUGAAGAAUUUUUGAAGAAACUAAGCAACCAUAACUGCAAUGGACAAUUUGGACAAAAUGGACACAUGAAGUUCAACCAAGCCAAGUGCAGGGUCCUGCACCUGGGACGUGGCAAUCCCAGGCACAAAUACAAGUUGGGCAGAGAAAGGCUGGAGACCAGCCCUGAUGAGAAGGACUUGGGAGUGCUCAUGGAUGAGAAGCU